UCCGGUUGAUCCUGCCGGACCCCACUGCUAUCGGGGUGGGACUAAGACAUGCAAGAAGUGCGCCUCCAAGCCACGGUGGAGGCGCGGCGCACAGCUCAGUAACACGUGGCUAACCUACCCUUGGGACAGGGACAACCCCGGGAAACUGGGGCUAAUCCCCGAUAGGUGAGGACUCCUGGAAUGGGUCCUCGCUGAAAGGGCGUCUAGACCAUGCUUCUGGACGCUGCCCAAGGAUGGGGCCGCGGCCGAUCAGGUUGUUGGUGAGGUAACGGCUCACCAAGCCUAAGACCGGUACGGGCCGUGAGAGCGGGAGCCCGGAGAUGGACACUGAGACAAGGGUCCAGGCCCUACGGGGCGCAGCAGUCGCGAAACCUCCGCAAUACGCGAAAGCGUGACGGGGCCACCCCGAGUGCCGUCCGCUGAGGACGGCUUUUCCCCAGUGUAGACAGCUGGGGGAAUAAGGGGAGGGCAAGUCGGGUGUCAGCCGCCGCGGUAAUACCCGCUCCCCGAGUGGUGGGGACGCUUAUUGGGCCUAAAGCAUCCGUAGCCGGCUGGACAAGUCCCCUGUUAAAUCCAGCGAUUUAAUCGCUGGACUGCGGGGGAUACUGUCCAGCUAGGGGGCGGGAGAGGCCGGCGGUAUUCCCGGGGUAGGGGUGAAAUCUUAUAAUCCCGGGAGGACCACCAGUGGCGAAGGCUGCCGGCUGGAACGCGCCCGACGGUGAGGGAUGAAAGCUGGGGGAGCGAACCGGAUUAGAUACCCGGGUAGUCCCAGCUGUAAACGAUGCGGGCUAGGUGUUGGCACGGCUACAAGCCGUGUCAGUGCCGCAGGGAAGCCGUUAAGCCCGCCGCCUGGGGAGUACGGCCGCAAGGCUGAAACUUAAAGGAAUUGGCGGGGGAGCACCACAAGGGGUUAAGCUUGCGGUUUAAUUGGAGUCAACGCCGGG
rnacentral:rRNA from 1 species